rnacentral:rRNA from 1 species
UACGGGGGGGGCAAGCGUUGUUCGGAAUUACUGGGCGUAAAGGGCUCGUAGGCGGCCAACUAAGUCAGACGUGAAAUCCCUCGGCUUAACCGGGGAACUGCAUCUGAUACUGGAUGGCUUGAGUUCGGGAGAGGGAUGCGGAAUUCCAGGUGUAGCGGUGAAAUGCGUAGAUAUCUGGAGGAACACCGGUGGCGAAGGCGGCCAUCUGGACGGAUACUGACGCUGAGACGCGAAAGCGUGGGUAGCAAACAGG